rnacentral:rRNA from 1 species
CCUACGGGGGGCAGCAGUGGGGAAUAUUGGGCAAUGGGCGCAAGCCUGACCCAGCAACGCCGCGUGAAGGAAGAAGGCUUUCGGGUUGUAAACUUCUUUUAUCAGGGACGAAGCAAGUGACGGUACCUGAUGAAUAAGCCACGGCUAACUACGUGCCAGCAGCCGUGGUAAUACGUAGGUGGCAAGCGUUAUCCGGUUUUACUGGGUGUAAAGGGCGUGUAGGCGGGAGUGCAAGUCAGAUGUGAAAACUAUGGGCUCAACCCCGGCGAGCCGUUGAAACUGGCGGGCUGGAGUUGGAGAGAAGUACGCGGAAUGCGCGGUGUAGCGGUGAAAUGCUUAGAUAUCGCGCAGAACCCCGAUUGCGAAGGCAGCGUACCGGCUCCACACUGACGCUGAGGCACGAAAGCGUGGGUAUCGAACAGGAUUAGAUACCCCUGUAGUC